UAGUGGCGAAAGGGUUAGUAAUAGAUGAAUGAUCUACCCUUAAGAUGGGAAUAACCUUUGGAAACAGAGGCUAAUACCUAAUGAGGUUGUUAUAUUUUUUAUAGGAAUCAAAGUGUACGCAAGUAUGCGCUUAGGGAGGAGUUCAUCGGAUAUCAGCUAGUUGGAGUGAUAAAAGCACCCCAAGGCGAAGACGUCUAGGCGGACUGAGAGGUUGACCGCCAACACUGGGACUGAGACACUGCCCAGACUUCUACGGAAGGCUGCAGUCGAGAAUCAUUCGCAAUGGGCGCAAGCCUGACGAUGCGACGCCGUGUGAACGAAGAAGGCCUUCGGGUUGUAAAGUUCUUUCGGGAAGGAACAAGUAUUUAUAUUGAUAGUACUUCCUAAAGAAGCACCGGCUAACUCCGUGCCAGCAGCUGCGGUAAUACGGAGGGUGCAAGCAUUAAUCGGAAUUAUUGGGCGUAAAGAGCGCGUAGGUGGUAUAGCAAGUCAGAGGUGAAAUAUCGAGGCUCAACCUCGAUGCUGUCUUUGAAACUGUUAAACUGGAGGUAAUUCGGGGAAAAUAGAAUUUCACAUGUAGCGGUGAAAUGCGUAGAUAUGUGAAGGAAUACCGGUGGCGAAAGCGGUUUUCCAGGAUUAACCUAACACUGAGGCGCGAAAGCAAGGGUAGCAAACAGGAUUAGAUACCCUGGUAGUCCUUGCCGUAAACGAUGUAUACUUGAUGUAUAGGGUCUCAACCCCCUGUGUGUCGAAGCUAACGUGAUAAGUAUACCGCCUGAGGAGUACACUCGCAAGUGUGAAGCUCAAAAGAAUUGACGGGGACCCGCACAAGCAGUGGGGCAUGUGGUUUAAUUCGAUGCAACGCGAAGAACCUUACCCAGGCUUGACAUGCAGGUGAAUGUACCAGAGAUGAUACAGUCUUUCGAGACACCUGUGCAGGUGCUGCAUGGCUGUCGUCAGCUCGUGCCGUGAGGUGUUGGGUUAAGUCCCGCAACGAGCGCAACCCUUGUCGUUAGUUACCAGCAAUAUAUAGAUGGGGACUCUAACGAGACUGCCUGGGUUAACCAGGAGGAAGGUGAGGAUGACGUCAAGUCAGCAUGGCCCUUAUGUCUGGGGCUACACACGUGCUACAAUGGUCGGUACAAAAGGCGGCAAAGCCGGAAGGCCUAGCAAAUCCUAGAAAGCCGAUCUCAGUUCGGAUUGUAGUCUGCAACUCGACUACAUGAAGCUGGAAUUGCUAGUAAUGGCGUGUCAGCAACAACGCCGUGAAUACGUUCCCGGGUCUUGUACACACCGCCCGUCACAUCAUGGAAGUUGGUUUUACCCGAAGUCACUGACCAAACCGCAGGGCGGAAGUGCCUAAGGUAGAGCUGAUAACUGGGAUGAAGUCGUAACAAGGUA
rnacentral:rRNA from 1 species